AGCGAACGCUGGCGGCAGGCCUAACACAUGCAAGUCGAACGGACCCUUCGGGGUUAGUGGCGGACGGGUGAGUAACACGUGGGAACGUGCCUUUAGGUUCGGAAUAGCUCCUGGAAACGGGUGGCAAUGCCGAAUGUGCCCUUCGGGGGAAAGAUUUAUCGCCUUUAGAGCGGCCCGCGUCUGAUUAGCUAGUGGGUGGUGUAACGGAUCACCAAGGCGACGAUCAGUAGCUGGUCUGAGAGGAUGAUCGGCCACAUUGGGAAUGAGACACGGCCCAAACUCCUACGGGGGGCAGCAGUGGGGAAUCUUGCGCAAUGGGCGAAAGCCUGACGCAGCCAUGCCGCGUGAAUGAUGAAGGUCUUAGGAUUGUAAAAUUCUUUCAACGGGGACGAUAAUGACGGUACCCGGAGAAGAAGCCCCGGCUAACUUCGUGCCAGCCGCCGCCGUAAAAC
rnacentral:rRNA from 1 species